CCUGGCGGCACUAGCGCGGUGGUCCCACCUGACCCCAUGCCGAACUCAGAAGUGAAACGCCGUAGCGCCGAUGGUAGUGUGGGGUCUCCCCAUGUGAGGGUAGGGAACUGCCAGGC
rnacentral:rRNA from 1 species